CUGGGCCGGCGCCUGCGCGGUGGGCGUGAUCCGGGCACUUAGGGCAGGAUGAACGCUGCUUUCCAAGAUGGCGACGGAGGGAGGAGGGAAGGAGAUGAACGAGAUUAAGACCCAAUUCACCACCCGGGAAGGUCCGUACAAGCUGCUGCCGCAUUCGGAGUACAGCCGGGAGUCCAGCCGGCCCAACCGGGUGCCCUUCAACUCACAGGGAUCCAACCCUGUCCGCGUCUCCUUCGUCAACCUCAACGACCAGUCCGGCAACGGCGACCGCCUCUGCUUCAAUGUGGGCCGGGAGCUCUACUUCUAUAUCUACAAGGGUGUCCGCAAGGCUGCUGACUUGAGUAAACCAAUAGAUAAAAGGAUAUACAAAGGAACACAGCCUACUUGUCAUGACUUCAACCACCUCACAGCCACAGCAGAAAGUGUCUCUCUCCUAGUGGGCUUUUCCGCAGGCCAAGUCCAGCUUAUAGACCCAAUCAAAAAAGAAACUAGCAAACUAUUUAAUGAGGAAAACUCUUGUCAGCACUUGUGGAAGGUGGAGUGGAAUGAAGACAGACAGAAGGAAGGUAGCAAGACCAGUGAGGAGGCCCUAGUAACUGUCCAGAGACUAAUAGACAAGUCACGAGUAACCUGCGUCAGAUGGGUGCCUGGUUCGGAAAGCCUUUUCCUUGUCGCCCACUCGAGCGGGAGCAUGUACUUGUACAACGUGGAACACACCUGCGGCACCACAGCCCCCCACUACCAGCUGCUGAAGCAGGGGGAGAGUUUUGCCGUGCACACUUGCAAGAGCAAAUCCACAAGGAACCCUCUCCUUAAGUGGACGGUGGGCGAGGGGGCCCUCAACGAGUUCGCUUUCUCCCCAGAUGGCAAGUUCCUGGCGUGUGUGAGCCAGGAUGGGUUUCUGCGGGUUUUCAACUUCGACUCAGUGGAGUUGCAUGGUACGAUGAAAAGCUACUUUGGGGGCUUGCUGUGCGUGUGCUGGAGCCCAGACGGCAAGUACAUCGUGACAGGUGGAGAGGACGACUUGGUGACGGUCUGGUCUUUUGUAGACUGCCGAGUAAUAGCCAGAGGCCAUGGGCACAAAUCCUGGGUCAGUGUUGUGGCGUUUGACCCCUAUACCACGAGUGUAGAGGAGAGCGACCCUAUGGAGUUCAGUGGCAGUGACGAGGACUUCCAGGACCUUCUACACUUUGGUAGAGACCGAGCUAACAGCACGCAGUCCAGGCUCUCCAAACGGAACUCUACGGACAGCCGCCCCGUCAGUGUUACGUACCGGUUUGGUUCCGUGGGCCAGGACACUCAGCUCUGUCUGUGGGACCUCACUGAAGACAUCCUUUUCCCUCACCAACCCCUCUCGAGAGCAAGGACACACACAAAUGUCAUGAAUGCCACGAGUCCUCCUGCAGGAAGCAAUGGGAACAGUGUCACAACGCCCGGGAACUCAGUGCCCCCUCCCCUGCCACGGUCCAACAGCCUCCCACACUCCGCGGUCUCCAGUGCCGGCAGCAAGAGCAGUGUCAUGGACGGGGCCAUUGCCUCUGGGGUCAGCAAAUUCGCAACCCUCUCACUGCACGACCGGAAGGAGAGACACCACGAGAAAGACCAUAAGCGGAACCAUAGCAUGGGACACAUUUCUAGCAAGAGCAGUGACAAACUGAACCUAGUUACUAAAACCAAAACGGACCCUGCUAAAACCCUGGGAACGCCCCUGUGUCCGCGAAUGGAAGACGUUCCCUUGUUAGAGCCGCUGAUCUGUAAAAAGAUCGCACAUGAACGACUGACUGUAUUAAUUUUUCUUGAAGACUGUAUAGUCACUGCUUGUCAGGAGGGAUUUGUUUGCACAUGGGGAAGGCCUGGUAAAGUGGUGGUUUGUGUUAAAUGUGACAGCAGUGGCAAUGUGCUGCCACAGCCACGCAGCCUCUCCAGGUGCAUCUGUCACCUCGGGUGGUGCAUGUCACGUCCCGAGCAGUUCUUCAUGGCAGAGCCAGCGUCCUCCCUACCUACGGCACAGUCCUCUGUUCCUAAAGGCUCACUGAUCCAGGGUAGCGAAGAUGGCCAUCCCUGAGGGCUAUUUCAGCUUUGGAGGCCACAUCAGGCUGCCAGGUGGGGACUGGGAGUGACCACUCGACAUGCAGCUUUAUGCACCUCCAUGGCUUCAGACAUCCACUUUCAGGUGCUUCUGAGGCCUUGAGUAUGCAGUUUCCAAAUUCCACAUUCACGUCUGGCCGACUGGAGUCGCUGGUCACAGGUAAGUAGCACUGCGGUGAGCUCGAAGGUGACCAUUCAUCCUGAGGUCCUGCUCACCAGCAGGCAGCCUGAGUGUGCGCCCGUGUGCCUGGUACCAGCACAUGCUCUCCUUGUCACAUGCUUGGGGCACCAGCUAGGGCACAGAAGGAAUGGUGAGGAGCACCGACAGGGCUGGCCACUCGGAAGUGGGUCAGUUGGUGGGGCCAGGGGUGGGCGAAGUGAGGGGAGCAGCUCUUAGUGGGCUGAGACAGGCUGUGGGGGCCCCGCCCUACCUCCCAUCUUGGUCAUAGGUCACGGCCGGGGUGCAGGUCCUGCAGUUGCCGCCAUAGCCUCGUACCCUCACUGACUACCCUGUGCCCAGUCUGGCCCCUCGUUGCCUGCCCCAGGACUCCCUGGCUGGGUCAGGGCCCCGCAUACCUGUGCCCCACCCGCCUGACAGCCAGCAGAGCACCUCUGCAGGCAGGACAACCAAGUGCCAGGUGCUCUCUGCAACCAGAUGUAAAGGUGCCCAGCAGUUCAAGCAGAAGAGGGCCCUGGAGAGGGGCGGGGGCUCCCCUCCUCAGAUGUGCUUCUGCGCAGUGUCUCAGCAGGUCCUCGGCAGGACUGAGCAGGGGCGCCCUGGGGUUACCCACCUUAGACAUCUAGGGCACGUGCCAUGCUUCUUCCACGGUAGCCAGUAGGAGGUGUUGAGGAGCAUUUCUGUAGUUUCCUCACCAAACUUUGAGCUUCUUCAUUGAAAUUGUUCAAAGUUUUUCAGCAUAAACAUUGUCAUAAGUGGAGAGCCUUCUCUGCCCUAGCCUCCGGGAUGACACCUAGCAGGCCGACGACCACUCACAGUCGGCACCGUUCCUCAGCCAGGUGAGGGCACAGACAGAAGCCAAGAGGAGAUGGCAGGGGCUCUUCCCGCAGCCCCAGGAUGCAGGCCGGCCCUCGGAAUGCCAGGGGCUGUCAGACUGCACCAAAAGGCUGCUUUUGAACCUUUUGGUCAUUCCAGAAGGCAGCUUGUGCUGCGGCUUGGACCGGCACCUGAACACCGACGGCAGCCCAGUCCUUGAGAUUUCCUUUUUAUUCAGGGCCAGGGAAUGGAAAACUCCCCUGAGAGGCCUAAAGGGAGCCUUUGGGAAACCUUGCCUUCCGUUAAAAGCAGACAUUCAAGACGGAGUAGGUAGACAGUAAUUUACUGCGGUUGUAGUUGAGUCUUCAUUUGUCUUCCAAACAUUUUAGCAGUUGGGAAGUGUUCUCCUGGAGCCCUGAGCUCCAGUAGAGAAGUGGCAGGUGGGAAAACAGUCUCCAAGAUGUCCCAGAAUCAGGAAGAAGCACCACAAUCCUCCCUUCCCUGGUGUUUGUGGGCGUGCGCACAUUCCAGGCUGGCAGGUAGCCAGCGGCCAUCUCUCCACGGUCCCUGCACCUCUGGAACAUCCUGAACCUUUAAGAAAUGCUCAGGUGUUGAAUCUGUGCUGAAGUUGGCUACUCUGACCAUGGGCGCAGGUCCUUGUCACCUCCAACUGGGUGGAAGAGGGUUUCUUCAUGGUUGAACAAGCUCAAAGUAUGAGGAGGAAAAAGCCAAAGGGCCUGGGAGGGCCAGAGAAGGGAUCCUUGGAAAACUCGAGGGCCACUUGAGUCCAAGGGAGACCUGGAAGCAAGAGUUCAGCUGUGGAUUUCCAGUGAAAGACCUGUGGAACGCAGCGUCACAUGCUCAAGGGAUCUGGCUGAGCAGUCAGCUAGCAGUCCCUGCCCUGCCUCUAAUGCCGGGGACCCCGCGAGAGGGAAGCAGCGGGCCCCAGAUGUCUGCCACAGUAGCGGGCAUGGGCCUUGUUACAGUCUCAUCCCCCGCAGGGAGAACUGCAUGUGGUGGGGGCCUAUGAAAUGACCUGGACAUGGCACCUCUGUCUGGUCUGGGUUACAGAGGUGAGGGCUGCUCUGUCUGCUGUCCUGGGGACACAGUGGGGAUGACUGGCAAGGCCCCCUGCCUUGUCCCCAGCACACCCUGCCUUGGGCUGCUUAGGAAUGUCAUAUGUUGGCUUAGGUUAACAAGGUGCUGGUUACAGUGACCAAAUGAUGUCCCAGAGAGACCUUGGUCUACAGAAGUGAGGCCUGUGGCUGGCCACUUAAAGCACCUGCUUUCAGUCGUCUCCUUUGCCACUCAGAGCCCAGGUUCAGACCGUCAGAACAGCCUCUCCAGUGAAGGGAAAUGGCCUCACCAGUGUUAAUUUCACUCAUUGCCAUGUCAUGAACUUUGUGUCAACAGUUCAAUUGCUACUUCUCAAUGUAAAAGUGGAAAAGAAAAAUCUGCAUUUCUGGUUUCUGUAUACUUGAGUUUAUUAUGGACUGUAAUGUCAGGUGACGCUGUGUAAAACUGUAUGGACGCUUACCUUCAGUGGAAAUCAAACACAAUUCACAUGCAUUUCUUUUUUUUUGCAUUUUUUUCAUCUGAUCUCUUGACAACUUCAAUAAAUUUCGUGAAGAGUCUUCUUAAUAUGAAAUACUGGUAAAUUAAGUUCUUAACUGUUGCAGUAAUUAAUGAAGCUUUAAUACCAGUAUUACCUUCUGACUUUAAGGAGAUCGUG